rnacentral:rRNA from 1 species
ACGCUCGACACCUACGGGGGGCAGCAGUGGGGAAUAUUGCACAAUGGGGGAAACCCUGAUGCAGCGACGCCGCGUGAGCGAAGAAGUAUUUCGGUAUGUAAAGCUCUAUCAGCAGGGAAGAAACUGACGGUACCUGACUAAGAAGCACCGGCUAAAUACGUGCCAGCAGCCGCAGUAAUCUGAGCGGGCUGGCAAGGC